GAAUACUCUGUAUAUUGUUCUAUCUCGGUGUAGGUCCAACCGUCCAGUUUCUCGAAAACAGUUUUAGUCAAUGUUGGGCUGAAACCCCUUAAACUUACUAAGUAGCGUUCUUCCUUUGUUGAAAUCUCAUUUCAAUGACGAUGUAUUGUGUUGCGUGUUGGUUAAGGUGAAGCAAGGAAAAAACCAUUGACGGUGUAUUUUGCUGCAUGUUUCAGUCAAUUUGUUGGACAAAUUACAUGUAUGUGUUUUCUCGAGCCCA
rnacentral:lncRNA from 1 species